UGACACAUAUCAGGCGGUGGUGGGUGAAUCUGCUAUUGUCAAAAAUGACACAUGGAAGAAAGAGGAAGCGCACAUCAGCCAUGUCAAUCAGUGAAGAGACAAAAUGACAGGAGGCAGGACAAGUACAGAACAUCGAAAUCUUGAUGUUGCCAGACGCUGUCCUGUCUGAAAUUUUACUUCACGUGGUCCUUGAGGAGGGUGAUUCCGGAUUGUU